rnacentral:rRNA from 1 species
UCGAGCGAGAAAGCCCGCAAGGGUGAGUAAAGCGGCGAACGGGUGAGUAACACGUGGAUAACCUACCUCGGUGACUGGGACAACUGGCCGAAAGGCUUGCUAAUACCAGAUAAGCCCACGAGCUUUACGGAGCUUGAGGGAAAAGGCGGCCUCUGUAAACAAGCUGUCACACUGAGAUGGGUCCGCGGCCCAUCAGCUAGUUGGCGGGGUAAAAGCCCACCAAGGCAACGACGGGUAGCUGGUCUGAGAGGAUGAUCAGCCACACUGGAACUGAGACACGGUCCAGACUCCUACGGGAGGCAGCAGUGGGGAAUCUUGCGCAAUGGGCGAAAGCCUGACGCAGCAACGCCGCGUGUGUGAUGAAGGUCUUCGGAUCGUANAGCACUGUCGCGAGGGAAGAUAAGCAUAGCCUAAGACGCUGUGGUGAGGACGGUACCUCGAGAGGAAGCACCGGCUAACUACGUG